AACGUAGGGGGCCAGCGUUGCUCGGAAUUACUGGGCGUAAAGGGUCCGUAGGCGGUGCGGUAAGUCGGAAGUGAAAUCUCAGGGCUUAACCCUGGGGCUGCUCCCGAAACUGCCGUGCUCGAGUGCGAGAGAGGCGAGUGGAAUUGCGGGUGUAGCGGUGAAAUGCGUAGAUAUCCGCAGGAACAUCCGAGGCGAAAGCGGCUCGCUGGAUCGCAACUGACGCUGAGGGACGAAAGCUAGGGGAGCAAACAGG
rnacentral:rRNA from 1 species